rnacentral:rRNA from 1 species
CUACGGGUCGCAGCAGUGAGGAAUAUUGCGCAAUGGGGGAAACCCUGACGCAGCGACGCCGCGUGGAUGAUGAAGGCCUUAGGGUCGUAAAAUCCUGUCAGGUGGGAAGAAGUGGAUAUAGAUUAAUACUCUAUUUCUUUGACGGUACCACCAAAGGAAGCACCGGCUAACUCCGUGCCAGCAGCCGCGGUAAUACGGAGGGUGCAAACGUUGUUCGGAAUUACUGGGCGUAAAGCGCGCGUAGGCGGUUUGUUAAGUCAGAUGUGAAAGUCCAUGGCUCAACUAUGGAAGUGCAUUUGAAACUGGCAGACUUGAGUACUGGAGGGGGUGAUGGAAUUCCCGGUGUAGAGGUGAUAUUCGUAGAUAUCGGGAGGAACACCAGAAGCGAAGGCGGCCUUCUGGACUGCAACUGACGCUAAGAUGCGAAAGUGUGGGGAGCAAACAGGAUUAGAUACCCGUGUAGUC